AUCCAAGUGAGGGAAUGGAGUACCAAGCUAAAUUACUCAAAUUUAAUCUUGACUUUUUAUGCCUGAGCCAUAAAGUGCAGAAAUGAGAUGAAGCUGUUUUGCUUUUUCACUCAAAUGAAGAAGUAUUUUACAUGGAGUGGUCUGACCGUUUCUAGCUGCAGGGGUUCUGCCAGGAAAGCAGAGGCCGGCUUCACCCCCAGCACUGUCCUGGGGUCUUCCGCCCCCUCCCACAAAUGAAAAGAACAGCGCAACGCCUGUAGGAGUUGACCCCGAAGACAGCAGCGGGAAAAUCACAGAUGUCCCCAGCCAGUGGAGUGAAGUCAGUCCAGCCGAGUUUGGCUGUUUCACCUCGAAGAUGAUCGAGCGGUCCCUAAAGGCCGAAGCGGAACGAGCCAGUCACCAGGCAGGCCUCCUCAGACUCUGGGAGAAAGCACUCCAGGAGAAAACCCGGGCGGAGCUGGCAUGGCUGGAGGACCAGAGAGUGUAGAAAUUAAACACCUGCAGAGUGUCUCCAGCGCAGCUCAUCAGGAAAGGAAUCUUUUAGCGAAACAGCACAAAGACAUCUUCAGUAUGCAGCAAUCAACAGUUCUUCUGCAACAGGAAUGGCAGAGUUUGGUUAAAAAGCAG
rnacentral:lncRNA from 1 species